rnacentral:tRNA from 1 species
GGACCCGUAGCUCAAACGGUCAGAGCGAGGUACUCAUAAUUCCUUGGUUCCUGGUUCGAUUCCAGGCGGGUCCA